GACUUGAUGAUGUGGGCAUUUGCGGAGUAAGUCCCUAAAGCAUUCCUAGGUCUCAAAUAAAAGUUCCCCAUCCAUCUAUCAAAAACUUGUGAUGGCUCUCCAAAGCU